rnacentral:rRNA from 1 species
GAGUUUGAUCCUGGCUCAGCCUGAACGCUGGCGGCGUGGCUAAGACAUGCAAGUCGUACGGUGUAGCAAUACACAGUGGCGAACGGGUGAGUAAUGAAUCGCUAAUGUGCCCCGGACUCAGGGAUAGCCAUCCGAAAGGGUGGGUAAUACCUGAUGACAUAACCUUGUCGCAUGGCAGGGUUCUCAAAGGUCCGCCGGUCUGGGAGCAGGCGAUUUCGUAUCAGCUAGUUGGUGAGGUAACGGCUCACCAAGGCGACGACGCGUAGCCGGACUGAGAGGUUGGCCGGCCACAUUGGGACUGAGACACUGCCCAGACUCCUACGGGGGGCUGCAGUAACGAAUCUUCCGCAAUGCACGAAAGUGUGACGGAGCGACGCCGCGUGUGGGACGAAGUCCUUC